rnacentral:sRNA from 1 species
ACCUGAAAGAAGUUGAAGGGGUCGGAGACUCGGGUU